UGUGUACUCCCUCCGUUCCAAAAUACUUGACUUCCAUUUGUCCAAAAAUGGAUGUACCUAUAUACUAAGACAUGUCUAGAUACAUAUAUAUUCUGACAAAUAGAAGGCAUGUAUUGUGCAACGGAGGGAGUAGAAU
rnacentral:pre_miRNA from 1 species